rnacentral:rRNA from 1 species
UUCAGGCAAAUCUUGCAUAUCAGAGCUGCCGGGAUUCUGGUGCACUCUUUAAGGUGCUCCACCAGGUCAAUAAUGAGCUGCAUGACUUACUGGAUAGCCUGGAGAAUCAUACUCCUCUUGUCAGAAAAAACGCUGAUGAGUUGAUCGCGCUGUUACUGCUUUUCACUCGGCAGGUUGGUCAGUCCC